AUACGUAGGUGGCAAGCGUUGUCCGGAAUUAUUGGGCGUAAAGCGCGCGCAGGCGGCCUUUUAAGUCUGAUGUGAAAGCCCCCGGCUCAACCGGGGAGGGUCAUUGGAAACUGGAAGGCUUGAGUACAGAAGAGAAGAGUGGAAUUCCAUGUGUAGCGGUGAAAUGCGUAGAGAUGUGGAGGAACACCAGUGGCGAAGGCGACUCUUUGGUCUGUAACUGACGCUGAGGCGCGAAAGCGUGGGGAGCAAACAGGAUUAGAUACCCUGGUAGUCCACGCCGUAAACGAUGAGUGCUAGGUGUUGGGGGGUUUCCGCCCCUCAGUGCUGAAGCUAACGCAUUAAGCACUCCGCCUGGGGAGUACGGCCGCAAGGCUGAA
rnacentral:rRNA from 1 species